UACCUUAGAAACUGCAUUGCAUUUUCAUUUCAAGAGUUAUUGGGGGAACAUAGUAAAUCUAGGUCACCGAUGUUGACCUCUUUCAGAAGUGACAGUUGUGAUCACUGUACUUAUUAACAAUAAUAUAAACCCACUUAGUUGCUUUUCAGAAUUUGAUGGCACGCUCUUAAGAGCUAGCAUCUCGGGGUUGGGUUCAGGAUGUCCUGAUGGCAGGACAUGUCAGGAAGAUGGGACCUUGUUUGUUUUCCAAAGAUGUGUCUGAGUCCUUCAGUUGUUUCUCUGUUGUCUAGAUAGAUGGACCCAGGUAAAAGCUCCCGGGCAAUAGUGGGCAGGGUGAGAAGGGAUGGUAAAUAGUCAGGAGAGGCGAAUGGCAGAGCUCAGCUACUUCCCAGGCAGAGUAGGAGGCACUCGGAUGAGAUGUCU
rnacentral:lncRNA from 1 species